AAAAAUCUUGAAGGAUCCCUUCCUAAUUUUUUUUUGGAUUCUUUUAAAUUUGGGUUGGCAAAAGAAUAUGAGAUUGAUUCCUUCUAAUUUGAUUCAUCUUUUUCGACUAAAAUCAUGGCAAAAGAAAAAAAUUGAUCAGAGCUAGACAAUUGUUCUCUGAGCUUACUGUUCACUUUCUCUCUCAAAAACAAAUUUGUAGAUCUAGUUUUUAUUUGGCGUGAAUUUCGUUUUCUUAUGGUUGAUUGUUACUAUUUUCUUAUGGUUGAUCGUUUUCUUCUUAAGUUGCUCUUAUUUUUAUUUUUAUUUUUUUGGUUUAGAUCCACCGGCAAAAUCAUUGAGAACAAAAAAAAAAAAAAAGCUUCUAUUUGUUAUUCUCUCAAUUGUUUCUAUUUUUCAUUUCUCUUCUUUCUUCUUCUUCUUCUUCUUCUUCUUCAUCAGCUCUUUGAUUUUUUUGAAUCUUGAUCUGUGAGGAAAGACUCUUUGAAUCUCUCUAUCUCUCUGCUCAAGACGUGAAUUUGAGGCAAACCCAUUACGAAUGGAUCAACUCCUUCUACUUCAUUGGCUAUCACAAGACCAGCGUCCUCAGCUGCUGAUCAGGGUUUGAUGAUUCUCCAAUCUCCAAAAGUAGGGUUCUACAGGAGAUCCAAAACUAUAAAGGGUAAACGCAUGCCUUCGUCAUGUAAAGAGAAAGACCAAGUGAAAGAAGGUCAAAUUCUGUGCUACAUUGAACAACUCGGUGGCCAAUUCCAAGUCUUCUUCGUGUAAUGAUUUUUUAUUUUCUCGUUUACUCAUAUGGAACAGAGCCUGUAGGAUACAAUGAUGCUCUCAUCUCGAUCCUUCCCUCUUUCCCUGGGAUUAAGAAGCUUCAAGAAGAAAAAAAUGGUCAUCUGAGGAGGAUGAGGAGCUCAUUGCUGCUGUGAAGCGACAUGGUGAAGGCAGCUGGGCCCUUAUUGCUAAGGAAGAAUUUGAAGGAGAGCGAACACCCUCACAACUCUCACAGGUUUUAAUUUCACUGGGCUGAUCUUGUUUCCUCGUUUUCCUCAUAUCUUUGAAUUAUCUCUUCAAGAACAUUAUGCAAUCUUUCCUGUUUAUUGCUUUGUGUCACAUGCACGGUCUUUCUUUGCCAUCACACGCAGAGAGCUAUUUUCGUAGUCACAGAAUUAUGGUAAAGGAAUUUGAGCUUCAUUGUAGUGUCUCUCUAAUUUCGCUGUAACUAAAAUGAGUUUGAACUAUGAUUUAGAGUGUGUAGCGACUUGACAUGAGGGGUGAUGGUCUAUAACUAAUUAUACAUAUUUGUCCAGUUGUACUCUCAUAUUCAUAGUUGAAUUUUUGCAUUU